rnacentral:rRNA from 1 species
GAUGAACGCUGGCGGCGUGCCUAAUACAUGCAAGUCGAGCGAACAGACGAGGAGCUUGCUCCUCUGACGUUAGCGGCGGACGGGUGAGUAACACGUGGAUAACCUACCUAUAAGACUGGGAUAACUUCGGGAAGCCUGAUCUAAUACCGGAUAAUAUAUUGAACCGCAUGGUUCAAUAGUGAAAGACGGUUUUGCUGUCACUUAUAGAUGGAUCCGCGCCGGAUUAGCUAGGUGGUACGGUAACGGCUUACCAAGGCAACGAUGCGUAGCCGACCUGAGAGGGUGAUCGGCCACACUGGAACUGAGACACGGUCCAGACUCCUACGGGAGGCAGCAGUAGGGAAUCUUGCGCAAUGGGCGCAAGCCUGACGGAGCAACGCCGCGUGAGUGAUGAAGGUCUUCGGAUCGUAAAACUCUGUUAUUAGGGAAGAACACAUGUGUAAGUAACUAUGCACGUCUUGACGGUACCUAAUCAGAAAGCCACGGCUAACUACGUG